CACUUUGGGGUGCACUCCAAAACAGGGCGCCUACCGGAGGCCUUAGACCGGACCCUGGCGCGACGUGAGCCGUUACCGGCCUCACACUGUCCAUGGGCUGUGCCUCGAUCAGAAGGACUCAGGCCCCCCAGCGACACUGGGCAAGCGGUCUUCCAUACGCCACAAUUCCCCAAUCCGCCCGUCGGACGGGGAUUCGGCGCUGGGCUCUUCGCUCGCCACUGCUAAGGAAAUCCUGGUUAGUUUCUUUUCCUCUGCUUAGUAAUAUGCUUAAAUUCAG